ensembl:vault_RNA Vault Vault RNA
AUGCUGGUUUGCUCAGGGUUACUUCUGUGUUCCAAGUAAUACAGAUCUCCUUUGCAAGGGGGAUCGAACCCUGGGCGCUGUCCAGUGUUUUC